rnacentral:rRNA from 1 species
UACGUAGGUGGCAAGCGUUGUCCGGAAUUACUGGGUGUAAAGCGCGUGUAGGCGGCAGACCAAGUCGGCGGUGAAAGCGCCCGGCUCAACUGGGCGAGGUCCGUGGAAACUGGUCAGCUAGAGGACGGUAGAGGCGAGUGGAAUUCCCGGUGUAGUGGUGAAAUGCGUAGAGAUCGGGAGGAACACCUGUGGCGAAGGCGGCUCGCUGGGCCGGUCCUGACGCUGAGACGCGAAGGCGUGGGGAGCGAACGGG